rnacentral:misc_RNA from 1 species
AAGUCGUAACAAGGUUUCCGUAGGUGAACCUGCGGAAGGAUCAUUACCUAGAGUUGUAGGCUUUGCCUGCUAUCUCUUACCCAUGUCUUUUGAGUACCUUCGUUUCCUCGGCGGGUCCGCCCGCCGAUUGGACAAAUUUAAACCCUUUGCAGUUGCAAUCAGCGUCUGAAAAAACAUAAUAGUUACAACUUUCAACAACGGAUCUCUUGGUUCUG